GAAACUCAAAUGAAUUGACGGGGCCGCACAAGCGGUGGAGCAUGUGGUUUAAUUCGAUGAUACGCGAGGAACCUUACCUGGGCUCAAAUGUAUGUUGACGUAUUCUGAAAGGGAUACUUCUUCGGACAAUAUACAAGGUGCUGCAUGGUUGUCGUCAGCUCGUGCCGUGAGGUGUCGGGUUAAGUCCCAUAACGAGCGCAACCCCUAUCAUUAGUUGCCAUCAGGUCAAGCUGGGGACUCUAAUGAAACUGCCUACGCAAGUAGUGAGGAAGGUGGGGAUGACGUCAAAUCAGCACGGCCCUUACGUCCAGGGCUACACACGUGCUACAAUGGCCGGUACAAAGGGCAGCUACCUGGUGACAGGAUGCAAAUCUCCAAAGUCGGUCUCAGUUCGGAUCGGAGUCUGCAACCCGACUCCGUGAAGUUGGAUUCGCUAGUAAUCGCGCAUCAGCCAUGGCGCGGUGAAUACGUUCCCGGGCCUU
rnacentral:rRNA from 1 species